rnacentral:rRNA from 1 species
AGCGAACGCUGGCGGCAGGCCUAACACAUGCAAGUCGAACGAAGUCUUCGGACUUAGUGGCGGACGGGUGAGUAACACGUGGGAACGUGCCCUUUGGUACGGAAUAACUCAGGGAAACUUGAGCUAAUACCGUAUGUGCCCUUCGGGGGAAAGAUUUAUCGCCAUUGGAGCGGCCCGCGUCUGAUUAGCUAGUUGGUGAGGUAAAGGCUCACCAAGGCGACGAUCAGUAGCUGGUCUGAGAGGAUGAUCAGCCACAUUGGGACUGAGACACGGCCCAAACUCCUACGGGAGGCAGCAGUGGGGAAUCUUGCGCAAUGGGCGAAAGCAUGACGCAGCCAUGCCGCGUGAAUGAUGAAGGUCUUAGGAUUGUAAAAUUCUUUCACCGGGGACGAUAAUGACGGUACCCGGAGAAGAAGCCCCGGCUAACUUCGUGCCAGCCGCCGCCGUAA